GAGUCUGCGUAUAGGUCUCAGAGGCCCUUU
rnacentral:sRNA from 1 species